CGGGGUCGGAACUUCGGUUCCGGCUUACGUGGCGCACGGGUGAGUAACACGUGGGAAUCUGCCCAUCUAUGGGGAAUAACUGCGGGAAACUGCAGCUAAUACCGCAUACGCCCUUCGGGGGAAAGGCUUCGGCCGUAGAUGGAUGAGCCCGCGUCCGAUUAGCUAGUUGGUGGGGUAAUGGCCUACCAAGGCGACGAUCGGUAGCUGGUCUGAGAGGAUGAUCAGUCACACUGGAACUGAGACACGGUCCAGACUCCUACGGGAGGCAGCAGUGGGGAAUAUUGGACAAUGGGCGAAAGCCUGAUCCAGCCAUGCCGCGUGUGUGAAGAAGGUCUUCGGAUUGUAAAGCACUUUAAGUUGGGAGGAAGGGUUGUAGUUUAAUACGCUGCAAUUUUGACGUUACCAACAGAAUAAGCACCGGCUAACUCUGUGCCAGCAGCCGCGGUAAUACAGAGGGUGCAAGCGUUAAUCGGAAUUACUGGGCGUAAAGCGCGCGUAGGCGGCUUGAUAAGAUGGGUGUGAAAUCCCCGGGCUUAACCUGGGAACUGCAUCCAUAACUGUCUGGCUAGAGUACAGUAGAGGGUGGUGGAAUUUCCUGUGUAGCGGUGAAAUGCGU
rnacentral:rRNA from 1 species